rnacentral:ncRNA from 2 species
UAAACGAAUGAAUUCAUCCAUCGUAUAUCCUCGGCAAUAUGGGCCGAGAGUCUCUACCAGGAGCCGCAAAUUCCUGACUACGAAGGAUGUGGGACACCCA